AGAGAGAGAAUAGACGUUAAGGUGAAUAUCAGACCUGAGCUAAGGUUCAUAAAUCAAAUGAAACAUAGCUUUCUUAUCCUUUUUGAGUCAUGGUGGAUGAGAAUGAAGUUAGCUGGGGAGACUCACCCGUUUAUAUUCAGUCCCCAAUGGAGGGAAUGGAGGACAUCUUGACCAGCCAAGUCAUCUGCACUACAUUUUCAUCUUCCUAUCUUGAGAUUCUCUACAUAUGUAUGCUGAUGGAGUUUGCCAUCUUUGGCAAUCAUGCAACAGUGUAUUUGCCGAUAUAAUGAUUUGGUUUUCUAGACGAAGAAGAUUUCCUUCUGGUGUUUGGUCUGAGAGGGAACACUGCACACUAUGGAAACAAAAUCCUCAACACGAAUAUUGCUUUGAAGGUAGAAGCAAUACAACAUCUAAUAGUCUACUUGAAUAUCAUAAUAUUCUGAAGAAGAUACUAUUUCUAAUGGUUCC